AAAGUCGUAACAAGGUUUCCGUAGGUGAACCUGCGGAAGGAUCAUUAAUGAAACUUUCAAGUCGGCCGUUCUGUGCUGGUGGCAACACAUGUGCACGUCGGUCGCAAUCCACACACCUGUGCAUCUUUGACUCGAGCACUGUGAAGGGUCUUUGUUGACCUGGUACUCGGGUACUUUACACACUCUGAAUGUAAUGGAAUGUCACUGUACAAUGUACAACUAUAAACAACUUUCAACAACGGAUCUCUUGGCUCUC
rnacentral:misc_RNA from 1 species